rnacentral:rRNA from 1 species
UACGUAGGGUGCAAGCGUUUGUCCGGAAUUAUUGGGCGUAAAGAGCUCGUAGGCGGUUUGUUGCGUCGGCUGUGAAAUCCCGAGGCUCAACCUCGGGUCUGCAGUCGAUACGAGCAAACUAGAGUGUUGCAGGGGAGACUGGAAUUCCUGGUGUAGCGGUGAAAUGCGCAGAUAUCAGGAGGAACACCGGUGGCGAAGGCGGGUCUCUGGGGCAACAACUGACGCUGAGGAGCGAAAGCGUGGGGAGCGGACAGG